GCGGUGGCCAAUUGAUAGGAUUCACAAGAAGGAAAAGGAAGAAAGAAGUUGAGCAGUCGUCUCCCUGAAUCCUAAUGUUGUUACUGUAUUUAUUUUGGAGUAAUAUUUUUGGAUGCCAGUUUGUUUAGGUACUUGCCUAGGGUGAAUGAAUACUUGCCAUAGGCUACGGCAUGCUGCAUCGAGUAUGCACGAGACUACGCCUUCGCCUCCGAUGGUCAUGACUAUGUCAGCUAUGCACAGAUACAUGCGAGCCAAGAGAAGGUCAGGAGGACGAUCAGCAAGGAGAAGACUGCAACAACAACGAGAAAGAACAAGUCGACGACUGAAGGAGAAGAGGAAAAUAAGAAGAACAAGAGUUCUAUGGCUGAAGAAGAGAAGGCCGUCUGCAGCUCACGGACCGCCGGGAGGGUUCAUCCAUGCGUGUGUUCCAUAGCACCAGCGGCGUCGCCAAUGGGUGGGCACCGCUGAAGUUGGCCAGCCAUGGAGCAGAAAUAUCCGUCCUGUCCAGGAGUCAUCUUUAGGUCAUGAGAGGGUUGGAUAGGAGCGUAGUUUGGGAUUGUGAUUAUUCUUUGUUGUCCCACCAAGGAAAUAAAGCUGGUGUCUCAUGAUCAUCUAGUUUCCCCUUUUGGUUUUGCACAUAUAUUUUUGUCUAUGUUUAUAACAUUAUAAAAGCUGGCACUGUGAAAUGGGAAUUUUCUUUCCUUUUUUAUGCCUUUAGAAAUAGUUCUGGUGUACUUUUCAUGUGAGCAUGCAACACUGAAAUGAAGAAAAGUACAUUUGGAACCCAAUGCAUGCCUUUUUCAGCAAAGGUGUGAUUGUCAUUGAUUUCAUGCAUGGAAUUGGUUGUGG